ensembl:lncRNA
AUGACACAGACUGGCUACACGAUCUCAUCUGCCGCAGAUACUGUAUCAGGCGGACAGCGCGUUUGUUUGAGGCACUUUUCACUUCAACUGUGUCUGACCGGAGAAUUAGCUUUUCUGAUCCUACUAGCCGUUGAGAGUUACCAUGGCAACCGCGGACACAUCAGCUGCUGGAGAGGAGAGGACUCGUCUGACACUUUCUCUGUUUCUCGUCAGUUAUACCAAAGAAAAGUUCAAGCAACAGAUUGGUUAAGUAACAUAUGUUAAUAUUAUCCACAGUCUACUUGUUAAUAUUUAUACCUCUGUGAUUAUGGUAUCUUUCCUUAAUUAUCUGAAAUGUCUGCUAGCAAAUAUUACGCUAGCGUAGAAACAUAAUUAUAGCAUAAUAGAUUUGAGCUCUUAUUAAUGAAAGUUUGGGCUUUUAAUGUCAUCUUAGCUAUCUUGAUAGCUUUGUAAAUGUUUCUGCUGAUAAUUUGUCAAUAGAUAAAUGGAAGUAAUCUAAGUAAUUUAACCUAAAAGUCUGCACUGUAGAGUCUAUCAGUGACGUCACUUGCAUGCAGUCUAAAAUGGGCUGAAACUAUUUCAAACCACUGUUUCAUUGUAAACAAAUAUUGAUAAAAAAAUUGUACUGAUUUCAGGAGGGUAUAAAAAACCCUCUAAAACAGAGGGGAAGUUCCAAGAAAAAUUCUACUGGAAGCUGCUGACAGACAUAUAAAAAACACAGGUGAUCAGAGAAAGCUUAUUAAAUAACUUCAUAUUUAUUUUUUACAAUAUAUCAUCAUGCAUCUGUAAAAUCUAAAAAUGUGAAUUGUGGUAUCUUAAGAUUUGUUUGUAUGUUUUCCAUAUUACUAUUGUUCUUUUCUGCAUUUCCCCUAUUCUCUAGUUUGUUUAUUUCUAAUAAGGAGUUGGAGGCCGUCGAGAAGCAGAUCCGUGACCUCAUGGAGAAGCAGGCUCAGCUGAGAGCCAUGCUGGAAACAUUCAGGGGUUGACGCUCAUAAGCACGCUGCUAACUCUCCCACCACCUCUACUCUGUGUGGUUCUCUGCACAGGCCCGGUGUACCCAGGACGCGAUCUUCCCAGAUGUCCUUCACCCCAUGCCACAGCGUAAGACAUGAGCCAGGUCCUGGGUGACGACCUCUCUCCCUCCGCUGCCUCCGGUCUUCGGGAACUCCACCGGAAACCUAUUUGCUCUAUUUCGCAAAACAGAACACGAUGCUGUGAUCAUCGGAGACUCCAACGUCCGGCACGUUCGUGCUAUGUUAGCUGAAGGUAAUGUGCACACUCACUGUUUCCCUGGUGCUCGUGUUCUUGAUAUUUCUGCACAGAUACCCACAAUCCUGGAGGGUGAAGAGAGCAUCGGAGCGGUCGUGCUUCACGCCGGGGUUAACGACACCAAGCUGCAGCAGACGGAGACACUAAAGAGGGACUUCAGGAGUCUGAUCGAGACGGUGCGCCGCAUAUCGCCUGCACGAUAAUCAUGGUGUCAGGACUGCUUCCAACGUAUCGACGAGGACACGAAAGGUUCAGUAGACUUUUUGCUCUAAAUGAAUGGUUAUUGUCAUGGUGUAAAGAACAGAAACUGCUCUUUGUUAAUAAUUGGAAUCUUUUCUGGGAGCGACCUAGGCUUUUUCGCGCUGAUGGCCUGCACCCCAGCAGAGACGGAGCGGAGCUGCUCUCAGACAACAUCUCCAGGACGCGACGCUCCAUAUGACUAGUAAGCCAAUUCUCAAAUAACUGCUAUGAUGGCUUUUGUUCUACCCACUUAAAUAGAAGUACUUGUGCUGUCCAAUCAAUGUUCCAGUGUUAAUUUUGACAGGCAUUUUUGAUUUAGCAUUAGUCUUUAUCUUGGGACGAGAAUGCUUAAUAGUCUUAGUCACAUUUUAGUCUUUUGAGUCUUUCAUAGUUUUAGUCUAGUCUUAGUCGAUGAAAAGUCAUUGCAUUUUUUUUCAACUUUUACUCAUUACUUUUAGUCAUUACUUUUAGUCAAACUGCAGUUACCAAAAUUUAUUUAUACUCGGAAUUUGUGCUCUGCAUUUAACCCAUCCAAAGUACACACACACAGCAGUUAACACACACACACGGAGCAGUGAGCAGCCAUUUUUUGCAGUUGGGGGUUCGGUGCCUUGCUCAAGAGCACCUCAGUCGUGGUACUGAAGGUUGGAGAAAGCGCUGUAGAUUCACUCCCCCCACCUACAAUCCCUGCCGGUAUGAGACUCGAACCCGCAACCUUUUUGGGUUACGAGUCCGACUGUAUUUUGAAUAAAAUAACAUUAUAGUCCCGUCUUAUUAACUAA